UGGGGAAUAUUGGACAAUGGGCGCAAGCCUGAUCCAGCCAUGCCGCGGGAGUGAUGAAGGCCCUAGGGUGGUAAAGUUCUUUCACCGGUGAAGAUAAUGACGGUAACCGGAGAAGAAGCCCCGGCUAACUUCGUGCCAGCAGCCGCGGUAAUACGAAGGGGGCUAGCGUUGUUCGGAUUUACUGGGCGUAAAGCGCACGUAGGCGGACUAUUAAGUCAGGGGUGAAAUCCCGGGGCUCAACCCCGGAACUGCCUUUGAUACUGGUAGUCUUGAGUUCGAGAGAGGUGAGUGGAAUUCCGAGUGUAGAGGUGAAAUUCGUAGAUAUUCGGAGGAACACCAGUGGCGAAGGCGGCUCACUGGCUCGAUACUGACGCUGAGGUGCGAAAGCGUGGGGAGCAAACAGG
rnacentral:rRNA from 1 species